GGUUCAGGGUGCUGUCAGAUGAUGCUAUGGAGGAGACCGUACGCAUAUAUGCACAGGCUUAUAUUAUGAUGCUGCUUUCCACUCAGUUGUUCAGUGACAAGAGUGGAAACUAGGUUCAUAUACGGUGGUUGCCCUUUGUGGCGAGACUUGAUGAUAUGGGCAGUUAUAGCUGGGAGUCGGCAGCGUUAGCCUGGCUAUAACAUUGCAUGUGACGAGUGGCCAACAGAAACGUGACAAACUUGGCAGGCCCCCUGCAGCUACUACAGUCAUGGAUUUUCUGGCGGUUUCCUAGCCUCAAGCUGCGGGGAUUCGACACGUAUUCCUUUCAAUUGGCAUCCAGAUAUACAUAUUUGUACAGUGGGCCACCUACUUGCCUUCAUCCGACCGCAAGGAGGAGAGAGUCAUCCAGUAUCGCCUAGCUUUGGACCGAUUAGGUGAUCGAAAUAUUGUUUGGGAGCCUUACGCUUCGCUCGACGUGAUGGUUGUUGUUCAUUCAGAGAUUCUCAUAGAGGAGCACAGUCGGUUAUGGCGUGCAUGUACUUGCUUGAUAUACUUCGCCGUUAUUGAGUGGCACCAGGUGGAUAGGGUGCUGCCACAGCUGGGUGGCGUUUAGCACGAGCCUAAGCCGGCCUCGAACAUUGAUUGUCUCCAUGCCAAGGAUGGGAAGGGUGGGGACAGAUGGUUCCCGAGCUACUACCAGGUAUGGCACCUUAGUUGGCAGAACAGGGUCGAUGCUGUCCUGAGUAUCCCCCGGGUGCCCGAUCACGGGCCGUCUGCAGACUUUCUACGAUGGUGGUAUAGAGUGGCCCUUAUGUUUCUGUCGCCAGAUUCCUUGAUUGCCGAUCCUAGGGCCGAGGAGAUCUCACAGGAUGUUGCUCAGAGAGGGUCGACACGGGCUCCUUCUAGGGUACCCAUGCCAGACGUGCCAGAUAACAGGCGCGUCGAGCGGCAACGACGCGUUGGUACUCAAGCUAUAGACCGGAAGUGGCGAUGGCUGGAUGGCAUGAUUUAGGAUGACAGGUCUGGUGGCGACGGAGUCGGACAUGCCAAUCACCGUGUCCGGUGUGGCUGUCCUCAGCGUCGGGGUGAUUCAUCAGGGGGCACAUCUAUUGGUCCUGGUGAUAGACCCGCUGAGCAUGCAGGGGUGGAGACCCAGGAGGUUCCUCUUACACAUGUUUCGAGCUCCCAGAUAUACCAUGACAUCUAUGGCCAGAUGUUUGAUGACCUGGCGGGUCUGACUUUCACGAUGGAUACGAACUACGAGGUUAGGAGUUCACAGUUCUAUUUCGACUUUGCAGAUCUCAUCCGGGAUGACGACCCUCCAUAUUUUCAGCAGCAGAUCCCACAGGAUUAGGUGCCUGAGACCCAGCUCCAGAUGGACGUUUCGCAGGGGUCCCGCCCAGAUAUGGAUGAUAUGCCGUGAUACCAGUCGCAGAUGUCUGACCCUCAUGGAUUCUAGCCCCAGCUACAUGUAAACCUGAAUGAGGCCGCUGGCAGUCCGUAUGACAGUUGGUUGGGCAUGAGAGGGACGCUGGUGCACGAAAUUGUGAUACACAAUGGCGUCAACAACUUGUAUGCACAAUUGCAAUCUCACUUCUUUUUCACAACUUCACAUAACUAACUAGCAAGUGCACUAAGUCGUCCAAGUAAUAAACCUUACGUGAGUAAGGGUCGAUCCCACAGAGAUUGUCGGCUUGAAGCAAGCUAUGGUCACCUUGUAAAUCUCAGUCAGGCGGAUUCAAAUGGUUAUGGAGUUUUAAUAAUUAAAAAGAUAAAUAAAACAUAAAGUAAAGAUAGAGAUACUUAUGUAAUUCAUUGGUGAGAAUUUCAGAUAAGUGCAUAUAGAUGCUUUGUUCCUGUUGAAUCUCUGCUUUCCUACUGCCUUCAUCCAAUCCUUCAUACUCUUUUCCAUGGCAAGCUGUAUGUUGGACAUCACCGUUGUCAAUGGCUACUUCCCAUCCUCUCAGAGAAAAUGGUCCAAUGCGCUGUCACCGCACGACUAAUCAUCUGUUGGUUCUCGAUCAUGUUGGAAUUGAAUCCAGUGAUCCUUUUGCGUCUGUCACUACGCCCAACACUCGCGAGUUUAAAGCUCGUCACAGUCAUCCCUUCCAGAUCCUACUCAAAAUACCACAGACAAGGUUUAUACUUUCCGGAUCUCAGGAAUGGCCGCCAAUAAUUCUAGCUUAUACCACGAAGACUCCGAUCUUUUGGAAU